ACACACUCUUCAUCAUCACACAAGACUAAACUACAACUAUGAACAACAUCAUCAUCUUCAUCUGGACCAUUGCACUGUUUGCUCAAGAGUGUAGAGGACAGAUCACUGUAACUCAGAGUCCAUCAAUAUCAGCAGUUCAACCAGGAGAAGAAGUCAGAAUAAACUGUAAAACCAGCAGUGAUGUGCAUGGUGGUACUUACUUACACUGGUACUCACAGAAACCUGGAGAAGCUCCUAAACUCCUCAUAUAUCUGACAUCAAGCCGUUAUACUGGAACUCACUCUAGAUUCAGUGGCAGUGGAUCUGGCAGUGAUUUUACUCUGACCAUCAGUGGAGUCCAGACUGAAGAUACAGGAGAUUAUUACUGUCAGAGUUAUCACAGUGGUUAUGUGUACACAUUCGGUGGAGGAACUAAACUGGUGAUCGCUGGUCCCACAGUGAAGCCCUCAGUGUCUCUGCUGCCGCCCUCUUCUCUGCAGAUCUCUGGAGACUCAGCCGCACUGCUCUGCCUGCUCAGCUCUUACUCUCCACAGGGGGCGCUGGUGAGCUGGACACUGGACGGGUCAGAGGUCACCGAGGGGGUUCUGACCAGCGCAGAGAGCCAGCAGGACGGCCGCUACAGCCGCAGUAGCGUCCUAACCCUCAGCAAAGCACGCUGGGAAGAGGGAGAGCUGUACGUCUGCAGAGUAACACAUGAUGGAGCUCCUCAUGAGGUCUCGUUCCACAAGAGCUCUGAGUGCUGAUGUUUCUCUCCUGAAGAUGAGCCGUAUCUGAGUGUCCUGUGUCAGGCAGGAUUCACAUGAGUCUAGUGCUGCAGCUGUAGUGCUUUACAACUCCAUACUGAGAGAGAGAGUGUGUG